rnacentral:lncRNA from 1 species
AAGCCUACCUUCAGAUAAGAUUCACCUUUGAAUGGCCCCCUCCUCCUGUAAAAUGCUGGAGUGCCCCGUGCUGCCUAUGAACAUAUGAAGGGGAAAAGUUCAAUUCCUAUGAAGUUCAAGAACUACACUUCCAGAGAGUAUUGUUUUACAAUGUUGUAUUAAAAUUUAUCUUAAAAAAUCUCCGUGAUGUGCCUAUCCAGUGGCUUAUUCAGAAGUUCUCUUAAGUGAGUAAAAUGGAUUCAUAUAGGAAUAGAAUAUGGUAGAAUAUGGGUUAGUUUAGUAAAGCAUUUUUUUUUAGUGUAAAGUUAAACUUAUAUUCCUUGAAGUUCUAAUAAGAUUUUCAAGGCCUCUUCUAGUUUAAUUCUUCUUAUUGAUUAGAGUCCGAGUUUAGAUGAAUACCGUUUGUAAAAAUGAUACCGUAUUCUAAGUAUUAACUUUUCCAUCUCCCCAAAUGCCAAAAACUGCUCUGUUCCCUCUCUGUGUCACUGCUGAACCUGAACUUUGACCCUUCUCGUAUUUUCCCUCCUGCUUACCUUCAGUUGAUCCAUUGAUCGAUGAUUACUCUGGAAGUGGAAGCAAAUAUCUGAAAGAUUUUCAGAACAAUAAGCAUAGAUACUUGCUAGCCUCUGAGAAUCAACGCCCU